UUUUUAACAAAUACAUUUUAUUCCUUAGGGGAAAAAACCUCUUCCUCAGAUCUCACUCUUGUUUUGUAUUGGGAAGCUCCAAGCAACAGGAGUAAAGCUGGAUAAAGACAAAGAGGUUUAGAAAAGACAUGGAAAGGGAAAGAAAAAAGAAAGCAAAUGAUAACAAAAACCCUGAAUUUAUCAUCUCCAAAGGCAACACUGGGCCGCUGUUAAUUUUAGGAGAGAAGAGACAAAAUUAUAAAGAAUGCUGAAAAUAAGGAAAUAAAGGGAAAAUGUGAUGGAGCCAUACCUACCUUGACAACAUGCAUGAAACUACUACAACUCAAGAGACCUGUGUUUUAUAACAUUAGGUCCAUUCAAGGUGAGUAUCUAGAAUUGGAAGACAAGUUUUCCAAAACUCAUGAGUUCAGUUAAAGUGUGGACCAUAAAAAAGGUCUGCCUG
rnacentral:lncRNA from 1 species